UACGGGGGAUGCGAGCGUUAUCCGGAUUUAUUGGGUUUAAAGGGUGCGCAGGCGGCGUGUCAAGUCAGCGGUAAAAUGUCGGGGCUCAACCCCGGCCGGCCGUUGAAACUGGCGUGCUCGAGUUGGAGAGAAGUAUGCGGAAUUCGUGGUGUAGCGGUGAAAUGCAUAGAUAUCACGAAGAACCCCGAUUGCGAAGGCAGCAUACCGGCUCCACACUGACGCUGAGGCACGAAAGCGUGGGUAUCGAACAGG
rnacentral:rRNA from 1 species